rnacentral:tRNA from 1 species
GACGAGGUGACCGAGCGGUUAAGGUGAUGGACUGCUAAUCCAUUGUGCAUUACACGCAUGGGUUGGAAUCCCAUCAUCGUCG